CAUUGUCUAGAUCCCCGAAGGUUCAUAUAAGUCAACACUGUUACAGGGAUCUGCCAUUCCAAACAAUUCCAGAAAGAUUGCACAGGACUGGAUAAAUAAUUAAGGUACAUUUGGGAUGUGGAGUUAAGUCAGUUCCUUGGAUGCAAAGAUCAUUUGGCUUUUAGAAGUUGUAUGACCAGCUACUUCCCACUUGCUCAACCAAAAGAUUUUCAGGUUCUUUUUACUUUGGGAGACACCUGGGUUUAAGAAUGUGAAGAAGAACAUUCCAGGCAGAGAGAACAGCAUGUUAAAAGGUCCCGAGGUGGCAAGGAGGAAAGAAAACAGCCCAGUGUAUCCAGUGAGUGAGAGGAGGUAUGGUUCCAUAUGGGCCUAAAGAGCUAUGUGUGGGUUAAAGUAUGUAGAGCCUUAGAGCCUAUUAGGAAAUUUGACUUUAUUCUAAAAAGUGAUGAAAAAAAAUCAUUUCAGGGCCUUUAGCAGGUAGUCAUUUGGAAUAACAUAUUGGUCGUGGAGAGAGAAGUAAAUGAAUUAUUUUUAAAUGUUGAAAGAAGGGUUGCUAGGACUUGGUGAUAGAUUGGACGUGGGUAGGGAGAUUCAGGGUCGAGAAUGAGAGGUGUCAAUACCUACAGCCAGAUUCCUCCUGUGAGCAGAAAUUGGGUUAAUGAAGGUGCUGUGUACUGAGAAGGGGAGCAGUAGAAGAAUCUCUGCCUAUGAAAAUUUUAUUCUAUUAUAAUGUUACGUAUCACAUAUCACACAUAAUAUAUUUUUCAGUUAAGAUGUAUGCCAACAUCAUUCUUUCCUAGCCUACCCAUGCAAAGAUUCACUGAUUAUUAAGUAGCCAUUUAGAGAAAAAAAAAUAAAAAUGUAAAUUAUGUUGUAAUAGUUUGUUCAAAAUCUACUAAAUAGUUCAUCAGG